rnacentral:misc_RNA from 1 species
GGCUUUCUCUUGCUUGUCCAUGUCUGGCCUCCGCGUGUGUUCGUGCGCCCCCCUGCUUCCGUCCAGUAAAAGAGAUGCACGCGAACACGUCUGGAGUGACGCGUUCGACGAUGGACGCGCUUUUUGAAGUGCUGCGGAGCUCGGUGGACAACGCAGCGCGCAAGCAGGCCGCGGCGCAGCUGCGCGACUUGCAGGAGCGGGAGCCAGAGGUGUUUCUUCAGCACACCUACGAUGGUAUCGCGUCUCAGCAGCUCCAGGCGGAGCUGCGCUUCUUCCUCUGCACGCUUGUCAUCGCGUUUUUGGACGAGUCGUGGCACAAUGCGGUGCCCAAGGAAACGCAGGAGCGGUUUCUGGAAUCGUACGUCCGCCUUCUCCUCGCUGAGGCGAACCCGCCUAUUCUGCUGGCGCGAAAGGUGAGCCGCAUAGUUGCUCUGAUGGCGAAGCGCGGCUCUCGCAGGGCCCAGCUCGGUGCUCUGCCGCUCGCCAUACAGCAUGUAGUCACGUCCUACGUGUCGGAGCUUGAGAAGGCCACCGCGGCGCAGUCGCACGCGCGUGCCACAUACGUGCUCCUCUACCUGCACGUUUUUCUCAAAGAAAUGCAAGGCUGCCGCAUUGGCAACGUCUUCGAAGGCGUGUGCCGCGCCUGUGUGGCGCCACUUUCGGGCGUCUUCUCACUUCUCCCGAGCGAGACAGGCAUGCUCGAGGCGCACGACCUGUGCCUGUACCUCUUCAAGUGCAGUCUGCGCACAUUUGGCCGCGGCGUUUUCGAUCCGGCGUUUUGCCAUUUCUUCUUAGCAGCGACGUGGCGGCUUGCGGCGGGACUGGGGCAGGACGCGCCAGACUCGCCGAACGCCGAAAGGCGGCAGCGGCUGCUGGAGUACGCGCUCAAGACGCACGAGGCAACCGUCGUGUUCUUUCCGAGCCGCCUCCAUGAGCUCGGCAUUUCGUUCUUUGUGCUCGCUGAUGAGGCGGCGGCAGCAGCGCCAUCCGCGUCGACACCGUCGUCUGCGCAUGACACGCCUGAGCACUCCAUCUUCCGACUACUGUCAGCCGUCGUCAGCAGCCCUGUUGGCGACGUGGUCUCCGAAAAGGCGGUGUGUCGAGCGCUGCGCUUCUUCACCUCCUUAUUGAGCGCCGAAGACGGCGAUGCAUUCAUCGCGCACUGCCUGCAGUGCUACACCACCUCUAUGUACUUCGCCCCUUUCUUGCAGCACAUCGUCAGCGCGUACCUGGCGGAUACAACGACGCCGGAGGCACUAUCGGAGUGGUCGAGGCACCCGGAGCAGGUGGCGGCGGGGUUGGAUGUGGACAUGGAUGACGAGACCUCCACGAUGAGUUGCGCAGAGCAGCUCUUUCUGGCUCUCACCGGCUCGACAGCUUGCGCUGGCCCGAGCCUUGCGGCGGCCUGGGCUGCUGUGAACCAGCUGCUCCAGGAGGGAGAUGUGGGCCCUGUAACCGCGGCCCUACACGCGAUCGGCAUCGGCUAUUACACCAUGGCCUCCGAGGACACCUCCUCCUACCUCAGCUUUCUCCGCGGAAAGCUGCUGCCCUUGCUCGACCCCGCCACCCUGGCGCAGACGUCCCCGUUCGUUGCCCGCCGUGUGGUGUGGUUGGUGGGCAUGUGGUGUGAGUCGGUGACCGGCACGGAGGACCGGCGUGCAGUUCUUUCCGCCCUGGAGACGGUGCUGCAGCACGCCGUUGCCACUCAGAGCGUUGUCUUGGUGUUGGUUGCGCUCAAAUCCACAGAGAACUUCGUCUCAGACAAUCAUUUUACAUUGUCGGACGUGCCGCCCACCAUGGUGAACACGGUGCUGCGCACGGUGCAGGAGCUGCUGUCUCGCGUGCAGAGCCCGACCACCAUCAAGGGCCUGGCGGGGCUGGUGCAUGUGCUCGUUGAGAAAGGUGCUCUUCAGAGUCAGGGCGAUGCUCUCGUGCAGCUCUUCCUUCCCCCUGCGCUGGCCGUCAUCGAGUCCUACGAGUCGCGGGCUGCCAAUGCGGGCGGAACGGGUGCCGCAGGGCUCGGCGUAGACGCGGAUGAGAUCGGCGAUGACGAAGGCGGCGCAGAUUCGCUGAGCUCGUUGAACAUGCUGCUGGAGUGCCUCGGCAGCAGCCUCCGCCAUGGCGACUCGGACGCUGUGAUCUGGUCGCUGCUGCCUUGCGUCAUUGUGCCGUGCACGUCGCCGACGAGCGCCGCGACGGCGUGGGUGGAGGACAACGCAUGGGAGCUGUUCCUCGUAAUGGCCCAAUCUUCCCGAACCUUUUUCUCCCCCGCUGCGGCAGAAGCACUGCAGAUGGCGCUGCAGCACACGACGAGGGACUUUGGCAUGCUACCGCUCGUCUUCCGCGUGGUUUACACCCUCCUCCUUUUGCGGCAAGACGGGGCGGAGGAGGUGGUGUCGCCAGCGCACCUGGAGGCAUGGAUGACGAUGCUGCGCGAGAGCCUCUCUGCAGAGCUCUGUAGUGCCGUUGCAGCGGCCACGUUCGCCGUGGGGCGCACGAGUGCAGGCCCGCUUAGUGCGCUGCUUUGCCAGCACGCGGCGCAGGCGCUGGUUCUAUCCAGCGACGUGCAGUCGGAGCAAUACACGAUGCCGCUGGCCAUGGUCCUUGCCCUGAGUUUCGCGUCUGCCACCGGCGGCGAGGAGCAGCAGCAGCUUGCCGUUCAUGUGCACGCUGCAGUGCAGUCGUGUGCCCCAAGUGGCACCUACUCGCAGCUCCUGGAACAGUUAGUGCUGCUGCUGGACGUGUCACCGAGCACCUUAGUAAGUCGUGCGCUGGCGCGUCUGCUGGAAGUGCUGUGCCGGACUUCCGCAGCCCCACUCGCAGGUGAUGAUCUGGCGAUGGUGCAGCGGGCCAUGGAGGGCGUCGCGGCAACGGGCGGUGCUACCGCGUCCGUGACGGGCGCUGACGACGAGGAUGCGGAGGACCGCGCUGCACCGGAGAUGCUGCUCGAGCUGUUGGGCGACGAGGAUAUUCCACAGGGGUCCCCCCACUUUGCACGCGUCAUGCGCGCCUUCGCCGCCCUUCUCUCUUGAGCUGUUAUCAUGGGUGCCUUGACAACGCUCAGGCGCUUGCACGAUCCCUUCUCAUUCCUCCUUUCUCAGCGUUCAGCGCCUCCGUGAGCUGCUCUCCGUCUUCGCCCCGCUGUUCCACAAUUGGCGCUCAGUCCCUCUCCUGUGUGCCGUCACACCAGCAUCCUUGGUCGCUCUCAGUAACAUGUGGAGCGUGGGCGGAUGGUUGCACAUUGUGGAAAUGUGUGUGUGUGUGUGGGAUGGGGGAAGGGAGGGGAUAUGCGGUGGGGUAGUCGGUGAAAUGCAAAUCCUUGUGGUACUCGUCGUCCCCCUAAAAAGGAAAGGUGGCGAUGGCGCUGUCGCUGAGGAGGACUGACGUCGUUCUCGCGCGGUACCACCAUCUCCUUCGGUGUCUGAGGAUAAACCCAGUGAUGCGCGUAAAGCCGCGAGCAAGGAGGGGGGGGGCAGACGCACACGCAUAAAUUCGCACACUACACGUAGUAGCAGGGCUGAUGUUGCAGGCUGUUUGUGGCCAGGUACCCCAUGGUAGGCUGCUGACAGCGAGUAGGGGGAGGGUGGGCUGAGGGACGUGAUACCCAACAUACCCCUCAGCCCACCCGCACGUGCUGAUUCGUAAUGCUAUAGCACUGCCACGACUCUGCUGCACACCGACGCAGCGGGUGCUUUCCAUGUGCUCUUUCGCUUUUCUAUGCCCUUCCUCUUCCCUUGCUGCGGUCGCGUGACUGUUCUAUUACCUCUCGCACCCGAUGCUCAUGCAAGACGCCUUCGUGCUUCUCUUUCGCUCGCACGCCCUCUCGCACACGUACCUGCUCUUCCCCCGUCUUCCAUCUGCCGACCCACUCCCUCACGAUGUGCGCUGUGCCACCACUUGUGUUACCCACCACCACAACGGGAACGUUGUGAACUGCACCUUCUCCUCCGCGUGGCCGUUCCUCUUGAAG